UUUUUAGGUAGUUCACAUUGAACUCGGAUCUUCACUAUAUAGCCGACCAUGACGACCAGUGUAACUUUCUUAGUUUUGGCGUUGGCUCUCUUGACCUGUGUUCUGGCUGGUCCUUUCAAGUACGAUAAUCGCAAUUAUAAAGUAACAACAGAUAGACUUAGGAGUUCAACACAGAAAAGAGACGGAUGUUCUCUAAUAGACGAAGAUUGUAAAAAUAAAAGUGAUUGUAAUGGCUAUUGUGGAUCAUACGCUCUGACCUGCUACUUCGAUGGCACAUGUCAGCGGGAUACURKGGGUACUCUUCCCUUCUCUCGACGCCAACAGAUGSAAUGAUUAGGACUUAAUCACGUAAUUAAAUGAGAGAUCUAAAUAGUAAAAGUGAAUAUGAAAUAACA